rnacentral:piRNA from 1 species
UUUUCCACUUAAAAACGUCUA